rnacentral:rRNA from 1 species
UACGUAGGGGGCAAGCGUUGUCCGGAUUUACUGGGCGUAAAGGGCGUGCAGGCGGUCUGUUAAGUGGGGGGUGAAAGCUCCCGGCUCAACUGGGAGAGGUCCUUGCAUACUGGCGGACUUGAGGGGGGUAGAGGAAAGUGGAAUUCCCGGUGUAGUGGUGAUAUGCGUAGAUAUCGGGAGGAACACCUGUGGCGAAGGCGGCUUUCUGGGCCCUACCUGACGCUGAGACGCGAAAGCGUGGGGAGCGAACCGG